rnacentral:lncRNA from 1 species
UAGCCUUGGGGGGUGGGGCUGGCAACUUCGUCCGCCGGACUCGGAAUGCCGCGAGACUUUUUGAGGGGCCUCCGUGUGCCAAAAAUAGGCUGCCGGCAAAGCCGCACCCAAAAAUAACCGCCCGAAGGCCGGGGCGCCAAGUUCGUCCAGCGGAAAAAGGCCACAAAAACGGGUGGGCUAUAGCCUUGGGGGGUGUGGCUGGCCAACUUCGUCCGCAGGACUCGAAAUGGCACGAGACGUGGCAAGGCACCUCCGUGUGCAAAAAUAGGGCGCGGGCACAGCCGCGUCCAACAAUAACCUCCCGAAGGCCGGGGCGCCAAGUUCGUCCAGCGGAAAAAGGCCACAAAAACGGGUGGGCUAUAUCCUUGGGGGGUGGGGCUGGCCAACUUCGUCCGCCGGACUCGGAAUGGCGCGAGACUUUGUGAGGCACCUCCGUGUGCCAAAAAUAGGCCGCGGGCGCAGCCGCGCCCAAAAAUAACCGCCCGAAGGCCGGGGCGCCAAGUUCGUCCAGCGGAAAAAGCCCACAAAAACGGGUGGGCUAUAGCCUUGGGGGGUGGGGCUGGCCUACUUCGUCCGCCGGACUCGGAAUGGCAUGAGACUUUGCGACACGUCCCAGUGUGCCAAAAAUAGGCCGCGGGCGCAGCCGCGCCCAAAAAUAACCGACCGAAGACCGGGGCGUCAAGUUCGUCCAGGGGAAAAAGGCCACAAAAACGGGUGGGCUAUAGCCUUGGGGGGUGGGGCUGGCCAACUUCGUCCGCCGGACUCGGAAUGCCGCGAGACUUUUUGAGGGGCCUCCGUGUGCCAAAAAUAGGCUGCCGGCAAAGCCGCACCCAAAAAUAACCGCCCGAAGGCCGGGGCGCCAAGUUCGUCCAGCGGAAAAAGGCCACAAAAACGGGUGGGCUAUAGCCUUGGGGGGUGGGGCUGUCCAACUUCGUCCGCCGGACUCGGAAUGCCGCGAGACUUUACGAGGGGCCUCAGUGUGCCAUAAAUAGGCCGCGGUCAAAGUCGCACGCAAAAAUAACCGCCCGAAGGCCGGGGCGUCAAGUUCGUCCAGGGGAAAAAGGCCACAAAAACGGGUGGGCUAUAGCCUUGGGGGGUGGGGCUGGCCAACUUCGUCCGCCGGACUCGGAAUGGCGCGAGACUUUACGAGGUGCCUCCGUGUGCCAAAAAUAGGCCGCGGGCAUAGACGCGCCCAAAAAUAACUGCCCGAAGGCCGGGGCUCCAAGUUCAUCCAGCGGAAAAAGCCCACAAAAACGGGUGGGCUAUAGCCUUGGGGGGUGGGGCUGGCCAAGUUCGUCCACCGGACUCGGAAUGGCGCGAGACUUUCCGAGGCACCUCCGUGCACCCAAAAAAUGCCGCGGGCACAGCCGCGCCAAAAAAUAACUGCCCGAAGGCCGGGGCGCCAAGUUCGUCUAGCGGAAAAAGGCCACUAAAACGGGUGGGCUAUAGCCUUGGGGGGUGGGGCUUGCCAAUUUCGUCCACCGGACUCGGAAUGGCGCGAGACUUUCCGAGGCGCCUCCAUGCAUCAAAAAUAUGCCGCGGGCACAGCCGCACCAAAAAAUAACCGCCCGAAGGCCGGGGCGCCAAGUUCGUCCAGCGGAAAAAGGCCACAAAAACGGGUGGGCUAUAGCAUUGGGGGGUGGGGCUGGCCGAUUUCGUCCGCCGGACUCGGAAUGCCGCGAGACUUUGCGAGGGGCCUCCGUGUGCCAAAAAUAGGCUGCGGGCAAAGCCGCACCCAAAAAUAACUGCCCGAAGGCCGGGACGCAUAGUUCGUCCAGCGGAAAAAGGCCACAAAAAUGGGAGGGCUAUAGCCUUGGGGGGUGGGGCUGGCCAACUUCGUCCGCCGGACUCGGAAUGGCGCGAGACUUUGUGAGGCUCCUCCGUGUGACAAAAAUAGGCUGUGACCACAGCCGCGCUAAAAAAUAACCACCCGAAGGCCGGGGCGCGAAGUUCGUCCAGCGGAAAAACGCCACAAAAACGGGUGGGCUAUAGCCUUGGGGGGUGGGGCUGGCCAACUUCGUCGGCCGGACUCGGAAUGGCGCGAGACGUUACGAGGUGCCUCUGUGUGCCAAAAAUAGGCUGCGGGCACAGCCGCACCCAAAAAUAACCGCCCGAAGGCCGGGGUGUCAAGUUCGUCCAGGGGAAAAAGGCCACAAAAACGGGUGGGCUAUAGCCUUGGGGGUUGGGGCGGGCCAACUUCGUCCGCCGGACUCGGAAUGGCGCGAGACUUUGCGAGCCGCCUCCGUGUGCCAAAAAUAGGGCACAGACACAGCCGCGCUCAAAAAUAACCGACUGAAGGCCGGGGCGUGAAGUUCGUCCAGCGGAAAAACGCCACAAAAACGGGUGGGCUAUAGCCUUGGGGGGUGGGGCUGGCCAACUUCGUCCGCCGGACUCGGAAUGGCGCGAGACGUUGCGAGGUGCCUCCGUGUGCCAAAAAUAGGCUGCGGGCACAGCCGCACCCAAAAAUAACCGCCCGAAGGCCGGGGUGUCAAGUUCGUCCAGGGGAAAAAGGCCACAAAAACGGGUGGGCUAUAGCCUUGGUGGUUGGGGCGGGCCAACUUCGUCCGCCGAACUCGGAAUGGCGCGAGACUUUGCGAGCCACCUCCAUGUACCAAAAAUAGGCCGCGGACACAGCCGCGCCCAAAAAUAAUCGCCCGAACGCCGGGGCGCCAAGUUCGUCCAGCGGAAAAAGGCCACAAAAACGGGUGGGCUAUGGCCUUGGGGGGUGGGGCUGGCCUACUUCGUCCGCCGGACUCGGAAUGCCGCAAGACUUUCCGAGGGGCCUCCGUGUGCCAAAAAAAGGCUGCGGGCAAAGCCGCACCCAAAAAUAACCGCCCGAAGGCCGGGGUGUCAAGUUCGUCCAGGGGAAAAAGGCCACAAAAACGGGUGGGCUAUAGCCUUGGGGGGUGGGGCGGGCCAACUUCGUCUGCCGGACUCGGAAUGGCGCAAGACUUUGCGAGCCGCCUCCGUGUGCCAAAAAUAGGCCACGGACACAGCCGCGCUCAAAAAUAACCGCCCGAAGGCCGGGGCGCCAAGUUCGUCCAGCGGAAAAAGGCCACAAAAACGGGUGGGCUAUAGCCUUGGGGGGUGGGGCUGGCCGACUUCGUCCGCCGGACUCGGAAUGCCGCGAGACUUUGCGAGGGGCCUCCAUGUCAUAAAAAUAGGCUGUGGGCAGAGCCGCGCUAAAUAAUAACCGCCCGAAGGCCGGGGCGCGAAGUUCGUCCAGCGGAAAAACGCCACAAAAACGGGUGGGCUAUAGCCUUGGGGGGUGGGGCUGGCCAACUUCGUCCGCCGGACUCGGAAUGGCGCGAGACUUUGCGAGGUGCCUCCGUGUCACAAAAAUAGGCUGUGGGCACAGCCGCGCUAAAAAAUAACCGCCCGAAGGCCGGGGCGCGAAGUUCGUCCAGCGGAAAAACGCCACAAAAACGGGUGGGCUAUAGCCUUGGGGGGUGGGGCUGGCCAACUUCGUCCACCGGACUCGGAAUGGCGCGAGACGUUACGAGGUGCCUCCGUGUGCCAAAAAUAGGCCACGGACACAGCCGCGCUAAAAAAUAACCGCCCGAAGGCUUGGGCGCCAAGUUCGUCCCGCGGAAAAAGGCCACAAAAACGGGUGGGCUAUAGCCUUGGGGGUUGGGGCGGGCCAACUUCGUCCGCCGGACUCGGAAUGGCGCGAGACUUUGCGAGGCACCUCCGUGUGACAAAAAUAGGCUGUGGACACAGCCGCGCUAAAAAAUAACCGCCCGAAGGCCGGGGCGCCAAGUUCGUCCAGCGGAAAAACGCCACAAAAACGGGUGGGCUAUAGCCUUUGGGGGUGGGGCUGGCCAACUUCGUCCGCCGGACUCGGAAUGGCGCGAGACUUUGCGAGGCGCCUCCGUGUGACAAAAAUAGGCUGUGGGCAAGGCCGCGCUAAAAAAUAACCGCCCGAAGGCCUGGGCGCCAAGUUCCUCCAGCGGAAAAACGCCACAAAAACGGGUGGGCUAUAGCCUUGGGGGGUGGGGCCGGCCCACUUCGUCCGCCGGACUCGGAAUGGCGCGAGACGUUACGAGGUGCCUCCGUGUGCCAAAAAUAGGCUGCGGGCAC